UUUUUGAGCACAUAUAACACCUAGAUCAUUAAUAAUGGUGAUCAGCAUUGUUUUAAGAUUUAGAGCAAAUUAUGUGAUAGCCUAGGGACACUUGGCCGAAUGUUUCCUACAGUUAAAACAAGAUGUUUGUUAAAAUAUCUCAAUGAAGAGUAAGAUGGCGGGAAAGCUGUAGUUCAAUAUGCAGAGAUGUUUUGGCAUUUGGAAACAAUAAUCUUGAAGGUUCUAGAUCCUCACAAGGAUGAAAAGGCCAGAAAUUGAUCAACAAAAUGAAGGGUGCAUAAUAUGCAGCAAGUGAAGACAACAGUACACAACGG
rnacentral:lncRNA from 1 species